AUUGAACGCUGGCAGCAGGCCUAACACAUGCAAGUCGAACGCGUGGCGCACGGGUGAGUAAUGUCUGGGAAACUUCGCGAUGGAGGGGGAUAACUACUGGAAACGGUAGCUAUUACCGCAUACCAUCGGAUGUGCCCAGAUGGGAUUAUCUAGUAGGUGGGGUAACGGCGCACCUAGGCGACGAUCCCUAGCUGGUCUGAGAGGAUGACCAGCCACACUGGAACUGAGACACGGUCCAGACUCCUACGGGAGGCAGCAGUGGGGAAUAUUGCACAAUGGGCGAAAGCCUGAUGCAGCCAUGCCGCGUGUAUGAAGAAGGCCUUCGGGUUGUAAAGUACUUUCAGCGAGGAGGCGUUACUCGCAGAAGAAGCAUCGGCUAACUCCGUGCCAGCAGCCGCGGUAAUUC
rnacentral:rRNA from 1 species